CCACAGCUGUCAGCACACAGGGGCCGGCGGCCAGCCCUCCUGGGAACAAUCCUGGUUACGGAAUUCCUUGCGUAGGAGAAAAACAAUAACUUCCAGUUGAACAAGAGCUAAAAGAAGGGAAGAUGUGACGGCAGCUCCAUUGAACAAUUUCUCUAAGUACAGACAGGCACCGCUUUCCACCCUCUGGUCACGUUCCACCUCCCAUUCUCAGGAAUUCUCUGGUAGGUGCACCUUGUUCAGAUAAGAACUGCACAGCAUUUCUUCGUGGGCCCCUGCAAGCCAUCCUUUGCAAUGGCACAGCCUCUAAACUUGGAGUUUUGCGGCCGUGGCUACUGUCCAGAGAAAGAGAAACACUUCAGAAGAAUUCUGGGUGAGCUUUCCAGGCUGAGGACAGAGCAGAAGCAAAAGCGUGGAGAUCCAGUGGAGUGUGUUCUUGGAUGACAAGAACACAGGAAGAGCGUGAAGAGUGCGUGGA
rnacentral:lncRNA from 1 species